rnacentral:tRNA from 1 species
UAAAAAAUUAGUUAAACUUAUAACAUUAGUAUGUCAAACUGAAAUUAUUUUAUUAAAAAUAUUUUUUA